rnacentral:lncRNA from 1 species
AAAAAAAGAGAAAAAAAAAGAGAAAAGAAAAACAAAAGAAAAAAUGCACUUGCCGAGACUUAAGACUCUAACACAUAUAGAAUGCUCGGAAAAUUUGAGUAGAAAAAGAGUCAAAAGAGUGAAAUUAACCCCCAGAGUAUACGUGAUGCACGAGAAAAAGAGAAAGAAAAAUCACACAACAUGACUACCGAGUUCAAAACCCUUUGUUAUCCAAUUUUUUGUUUAUCCCACCGUACCCAAGCC